AAGGGAACGUCAUCAUUUGGAAAGCCUCACAUUAAGACGCACACAUUGCGCUGCUGCUACAGCUCUAAUACCUGCCACUUUCAGAAGUCAAUGUGUGGCAAAUGUCGUUACCCUCCCAAGCAUAAAAUAAAGUAUAACUGGAGUGCUAAGGCUAAAAGACAAAAUACCGCCGGGAUUGGUGUUACUAGUUACCUAAAAAUUGUACACCAUGAAUUCAGGCAUGGACUCUGUGAAGGAAUAACACAAAAACCCAAAGGGGCAGCUGUAGCAGCAUCCAGUUCCUUUUAA
rnacentral:lncRNA from 1 species